rnacentral:tRNA from 1 species
GUAAUAGAAGCUUUUAUAGCAUUGGUCUUGUAAACCAAAGAUAGAGUAUAAACUUACUCCUAUUACU